UGACUUUUGUCGCCGGAUAAAAGAUAUAACAUCAAAUACUCUAUCGUAGGCCAUUGAAGGUAGAGUGUUUGAUGUUUUUUUAUU
rnacentral:ncRNA from 1 species